AAUAAUAAAUUUAAUUAUUAUUAAUUGUUUGUUUAUAAUUAUUUUUUUUUAAUAAAAAUAUUUUUUUUUGUUUGUGUCAUAAAAAUAAAAAUAAUAUUUAUAUUUUUAUAGUUUAAAGUAAAGAGAUUGAAAAUUGAAAUAAUAUUGAAAUAUUUAUUUGAAAAAAAGAAUAAUUAAUUUUUUGUUCCUUGUGUAUCAGGAUUUAUUUAAUUUUAAAUUUAAGAUUUUAAUUAAUUUAUAAUUUAAAAAAUUAAAAAUUUUUUAAGUUUUAUUGUUUAAUAAAUAUUAUUUAAAAAUUUUUAAAAAUUAAAUGUUAAUUGUUUUUGAAGUUAUAUAAUUUUUAAAGAAAUAAAUUCAAUUUAUAAAUAAUUUUUUAUUAAUAUUAAAAAUUUAUAUGUAUAUUUAAAUAAUAAUAGUAUUAAAAUUAGAUUAUUUUUAUAUUUUAGGGGUUGAGCUUUAAAAUAAAUUUUUAAAAAUAUUAUUAAAUUUAAAAAAAAAAUAAUCUUAAAAAUAGGUAUUUUUAAUUAAAAUGUUUUAAUUAAUUUUUUUUUAAUAAAAUUUUUUAUAUAUUUUUUAAUUUUUUAUUUAAAAUAAUAUUUUAAUAAAAAAGAUAUUUUAAUAAUAAUUAAAUUAGUAGUUUUAUUUAUUUUAAAAAUAAAAAAAGAUGAGUUUUUAAUAAUAUAAAUUCGGCAAUAUUAUUUUUAUAUGUUUAACAAAAACAUUGUUUUUUUUUUAUUAUUUUUAAAAAAUAAGGCCUGCACACUGAAUAAUUUUAAAGAGCCGCGGUAAUUUGACCGUGCAAAGGUAGCAUAAUCAUUAGUUUUUUAAUUGAAGACUGGAAUGAAAGGUUUGAUAAAAAAUAAGCUUUAUUAUUUUAAAAUAAAAUGAAUUUAUUAUUUUAGUAAAAAAACUAAAAUAAUUGUAAAAGACGAUAAGACCCUAUAAAGCUUUAUAUUUUAUUUUUUAUUAUUAAUUUAUAGAAUAUUAAAAAUUUUAAAAUUUAAAUUAUUUGAUUGGGGUGAUUUUAAGAUUUAAUUAACUCUUUUUAUUUAAUAUUCAUUUUUAUAUGUUUUAUUUAUGAUCCUAAAAUUUGGAUUAUUAAAUUAAGUUACUUUAGGGAUAACAGCGUAAUUUUUUUGGAGAGUUCAAAUCGAUAAAAAAGUUUGCGACCUCGAUGUUGGAUUAAGAUAUAAGUUUAGGUGUAGAAGUUUAAAUUUUUAGUCUGUUCGACUAUUUAUUCUUACAUGAUCUGAGUUCAAACCGGUUUAAGCCAGGUUGGUUUCUAUCUUUAUAAUUAAUAAUUAUAUUUUAGUACGAAAGGACCAAAUAUAAAAAUUUUUUAUUUAUUAAUAUAUUUGACAAAAAUUAAAUAUUAAAUUUAUUUAUUUAAAAAUUUAAUAUAUAAAUAAAAAUUAUAAAUUUUAUUAUUUAA
rnacentral:rRNA from 1 species